GGUAAGAUUGAGAGGGGCAAAUGGGUGAGCAGCAAUUGGGUUCCAUCACUUUCAGAGAGGUGCAGGAACGACUCCUGUGGAGUGCGGUCACACAAAAUCUUGCGCUAGAUUUAGUGUUUGGCAGCGUGGGUAAAAGCAGGAAUGGAUCUCCGUACGACCGCCCAAUCCCGUUGCAACUUUCCAUAUAAAUCCGUGCUUUCAUAGCAGCACUGAGCAAGGCUGUCGUUGAGCAGUCAAAUCACCCCACUUUCUUCUCUCUCUGCAACUGCACAGUGCACACACCUCUGGAAAUUUUAAGUCAAGUCACAUCACAGGAGACGGACAGCUGCCCUUGCUGCCAUUCAAUUAUAAUACCUCACUGAUUAAACUUGGCAAGUUUAACACCGCCUAAAAUGAGUCUAACUAUAGCCCUCACCCCAUAUAUAUAAUGGGAGGGCUUUCAAUGUUCUGGGCAUCCAUCCAUCUAUCUGCUCGCUAGGUAGAUAGAUAGAUAACUUUUUAUUUCUUUUGCCUUCCUUGCCCGUCUGUCGGCUAUUUUAUUCUUUUUUUUCUUUCUGCCCUUGCUUUGAAAAAGAGGGAGCCCGCACUUCCAUGGAUGCCAAAGGGGCAUUUACAGUUCUCUACUUAGUAGGAGACAAUCGGUGGGUUUCAGGGGUCUUAUGGAGGCAAGUGAGUGAAUUUCCAAGCGUAUGGAUGAGGUAUGUUGUUGGAAUAUAUUGGUAGAGCUCCUUUGAUACCAAUCAAAGGCUCUGUGCCAAAUUAAUUCAACUGCUGAUUUAUGCAUUUCACCAUCCUGCCCAUGUUCGUACAUUGCAUUGCAGGCUGGUGGUGUGCAUAACGCUGGAGUCGUGUUAAUUGUGUACUGCCCUUGUUUGGUUUGAAGGGAGCUCUACAGUAUUCCCUUUUCUUUGAUCAAAUUAGGGUUUAUAAGUAACUCCUAGUCACUGAAAUUUUCUUACCAGAGCAUUCAUUUAAUUGCGUACCAUUUUCUGUUUUGUUUAACAUAUGAUAGUAAUCAGUUUUUAUUAACAUAUGAUAACAGAUAAUAAAAAACAAAGUCUUUGUUAUUUUCAGUUCUGUACUUGCUCUCUCUACAUUCUUUUCUAAUGAUUCUUUACAAAAUCUGGAAUUAGUCUGUAAGCUAUCUUCUCCUAAUUAGAAGCGAAUCACACAAAUUAUAAUUUUUUUUUAUCAGCGAUAAUUAAGAAAUAAACAGAUUGGUUGGUGUAGAAGGGGCCUCAAGUUUUGGGUGGAGAUACAAUGGUAUUUAUAAGGAGGAGAACUCUAUAUCUGCGAUUCUGCAGUAUAUGUCUGAUCUAUUUAACUUGAAAAAUUAGAAUUGAUAUGGAUCAGAGGUCUAAUAUUGAUUUGAGAUAUGGAUCAGAGGUCUAAUAUUGAUUUGAGAUCAGAGAUCAAACAAAUGAAUGGCAAAUUUUUAAUGAAGUCGAUGAGACUAAAUGAUCAAAGGGAUCAAAAGGAAAGUCUCUCAGGCAAAAGUCAUUUUGUUAUGAUGCAUAGCAGACUUCAUUAUGGUUCCGAGCAAAAUCUUAAAAAGGUCCACAAGUCUCUAAUACAAGCAAAAAGGUUAACAUUUGGUACAAUCAUUGUGAAUCUGUAGGUAUAUAGGUGAUACCUUACAAUAGUUACAAGGAGUUAAAUGAUGUCCUUAAAAAGUUUUACAAGGAGGUAAAUGAUGUCCUUAUUUGAAUUACAAGAUGCGAAGAAAUAUUUUAAAAUAUAAAAUCAUAAAUGUACUUUAGUUCUCAUACCACCUCUUCCAUGAUUUUGUCGAUAAAUAUGUCAACAAGUGUAGGGACAUUGCUUUACAAAAUCUUUCAUGUAAUAUCCAUUUGUUAUUGAACAUGAUCUAUUGAAAGUGUUUUUAUUUCAAGCCAAUUUAAAGAAAAUAGAUAGCAGUUUGCCUAAGUUCGUUUGAAGUAUCCCUUAACAUGCCUUGGAAUGGUCUUAAGGUUUUUUUAAGACACUUAAGUAUAUUUUGGGGGUUUAAUUCAAUAAUUCACAAAUCAUCAAUAGUACAAUGACUUCUUACUAUUUGUGCACUUAAGUAGAUAUUAUGUUGAUUUAGUGGGAUUUUAAAUUGGUAGUUUGAAAUGACAUCAUUAUAAUUUUAUAUUUUUAGUGGUAGUGAAUAUGUGGUAUUUGUAUAUAUUAAUUUUUUUUGUUUGUUUUAUGUGAGAUCUAGGGGAAGAGGCCAAUAGACUUUGUAGUUAAUUUUGUGCAUUUCAAGUUCCUAAAUGAUUUAUUUAAUUUUGAUGAUUCAUGUUUGGUUGGCCUUGUAUAUUGUUUUGGUGGUUGGGUAGUUAUGAUUGGGAGAUUCAUUAUGCAUGCAAGGAUAAAAAAUGGUCAUUUUGAGUAGAUAACCUAUAUAUUCUCUUUUGCCUUUUAAUCGUUUGUGAUUUGACCACCACAAAAUUUGCACAAUUGAUCUAAUAUAUAUGUACAAAUACUUGGAUAAUUGUGCAUAAGUACCAAUAAAGUUGUACAAUUGAUCUAAUAUCGAACAAUUUGUUUUGACAAUUGAGUAUUCAAAAGGAUGGCUAUUGGCCCACUAGAUGAUCUUUUUAGUGAGCUUUUAAUUAGUGAAAUGUAAUGAACGAUAAUUGGAACAUGGGUGGAAAUUGGAUCAUUGCCUAUAUCUUUAGAAUGAUUUAAUAUAUUUUUGUAGUGUUAUUAGAAUAAACUAAGUAAUUGCAAAAUUGAUAAAAAUUAUAAGAAUAUAAUAAUUACGAAUAUGAUUAAAUUCCCUUUGUGAAUAAUUACACAUAUAUUGCUAUACACACUCUUAUGGGGAUGUGGCUAAUUUGGCUCCAAAAUUGUUGACUAAUUUGUGUUAUACAUAGUCGAAAAAUGAAAGAUAUAAAGAUAUAGCUAGUUUUGUUGAGCAUGGUCGAGAUUUGUAAUUUUUGACUUGUGUGUUAUGCGGAAAUCAUGGCGUUUUUAGAGCCAGAUUAGCUACAACCUCUUAUGGUACUAUACUUGUUAAACUUUCAUUUAGGGUUUGUUAUGAGAUUUGUUUGUUUUUGUGGUAUUCCAUUUGUUAAACCUUCCCUUAGAGUUUUUUUUAUGAGAUCUCUAUGUUUACAAUAGAGUAGGAUGUUUUUAAAAGGCUUACUACAAUGAAUAAGUAGUUACAAAAGUUUCAAAGAAAAUAAUUAUUUUGAAUACAAUUAAACAUCUAGCAUAAUUAAAAAAAAAAAACUUAGCUUAUUUUUAGUAUUGAUUUGAAAUAUUAAUUGCUCUAGUAUAUGCGCACAUUUGAAAAAUUACUCCUUUAAAGUGAGCAUCAUUUUUUGGGCUAAUAUAUAAGACAAACAUGAAAUGAAUUAUUAUUAUAGAAAUAAUUGUUUGAUUAAAUAUUUUGAGUAUAUCUCAUAUAGAAUAAUUAUACAAUUAAUGUUUAUGAUUUAGUGUUGAUAUAGAUUGUAUGUGUAUUAUAUUUCAAUUUUUAUUUUUUAGUCUUGUAAUUUAUAUAUAUUUUAAAAUUAAAAUUAGAUAAGAAUUGAAUUGUGAAAAUAUUAUGCAAGUAAAUAAUAAUAUCUUACUAAUAAUGUGAUCGAAGUGAAUUGAUUGAUAAGGGAAGUCAUCUUGAUGAGUUUAAAAUGAUGCAUAUAAAAAGAAAAUUUGAUUUUGAGUGAUUUUAAUAAACAUUAUUUAUUUAUAAGUGUAAUAAGUGCAAAAAUUUCAAAACAAUUUUGAGUCUUUUUGGAAGUGGGAUGAUUUAUGAUGAAUGAGGAGUAAAUGUUGGUUAAAAUAUCUUAUGGUCUUUAAUGUGUAUUUGUAAUUAAGAAGGAAUAAAAAUUUGGAUGUUUCAUGGUUCUAGGUAAAAUUAACAUUAUAUGUAAAAGUAACUAUGUUAUUCUCUUCACAAUGACCAAGCUUGGCGAGAUUUUAUAUGUUUUCUAAAUAGUGGGAGAUUUAAAUUUUGGGCUAAGGGUUUAGCUUGUAGCUAACGAGUUUAUAAAGUUGAAAUGAUCAUGAGUAGGGUUAGUUUCUUGGAUUUAGAAGAGUUUAAAACAAAAUUUAAGAUUUUGUUUUUUGAACUUACAAAAACUCUGUGACAAACAAUGUAAGAUUAAACAAAUGAAAUACAUUGUUACAUGAUGGAUCAUAUAUAUAUAUAUAUAUAUAUAUAUACUAUUUCAUUAGAAAUUUAGUUUUAAUAAAUGACACUGAGAAAAGUCUAUGAUAUACAAAGUAAGAUUAAACAAAUUAAAUACAUUGUUAUGCAAUUAGAGAAAAUUCAAAGGAAGGAUGUAUCAUCCUACUUAAAUCUUUAGUAACCCUAGUAACGAGAAAUAAUGGCAAGACCUAAUUAAGGAAAUUUGUCACUUUUAGGUUUGUCAAACUAUUUGAUUACAUACUAAUUCAUAAAAAAAAAAUUAUAUUAGAAAUCGAGAGAAUCUAGAACAAGGAGGCCAGGCCUCAACAAAACAAAGCUGUCACCGCCACAGGACAGCCAACACCAAAGUAACAAUAGGGUGCGUAAUCCGCACAAAAGAGUACUAACAAGCUAAUUGCAUCAUGAGAAAUCAACAAAAGCAUCAAGAGAGGGUGUCGUCAUGGGGUUCAAUCCAUGCCACCCAUCCCUGAGGUCCUUCCAUCCAAACAAUGGUCUUUUGACUCUGAAUUUGUGCUAGCAUCUCAACUUGGGCAGAGUAGGGCUUCCUGUUAUCUUUAAUUUCGUUGUUCAGCUUCUUGAGAGCCUCCUCAAAGGAGGGUAGGUCGUCUUCGUUGCGCCUCCAUUCAUAACCAUCCUUCAUCUCAUUGAUGAACAUGGUGGCAUGACCAUCCUUGAGGAACCUCAGGAGCUUGUGCCUCUCAACAUUCAUAGUAGAGGCAACUUGCAUGGCAAUUUUAAAGAAUGUGAGUCUUCGAAAGGAUUCAGUAAGGGCCCUGGCUUGGCCUUCAAACCUAUCAGCAUUCCUAAUUUUCCAAAUAUACCAAAGAAUAUUGGCAGAUAAAUUAAACAAAAAGACAUUAGCAUCCUUUUUCAAUCCUUUAAUGUGCAUAGAAAUAAUUUCCAGAGUAUUCACAAGAUUAGGGAUAGAAAAGCCAAACAUUAACUAGAUUUCUUUAGCAAUGGAGCAAUCAAAGAAAAUAUGCGUGUCAGUCUCACGGAGUUUACAAAUAGAGCACAAAUCAUUAUUGUCAUAAUUCCUUCGAAGAGGAAUUCUAUUAAGUAUCAUAAGCCAUUUAAAGCACUUGAUUUUUGGCUCGAUCGAACUUUUCCAUAGCAUGUUGAAGGUCUUUUGCCACUGCAUAACAGGCAGAUCAGAAUACCAUAAGAUGUUAACAUGUUUAAUGAUGGAAGCCUCAUAAGCUAGGACAGAGUAAAUGUUACGAGCCUUGAUUUUAGCCAAAAUAGUACCAUUAGCGCAUUUAAAAGAUAAAAAUCUAUGAGAAUCGACAUCACAAUCUUUAGGAAGACCAAAAUCAAUACAAGCUUGCUUAAUCAUGUUGUAGGUUAAAUUUUGAGUAGGGGGGAGGUUAAAUUUUGAGUUGAGAUCUUCCCAUGUGAUAAGAGUAUCAUGAUCCAAAAUGUCUAUAAGGAUCUUACCAUGAGGAUCUCUCGCCAUGAGUCAGGUUACCAUUGUUGACACUAGUGUUGACCAAAAACCCCCUACCAUGUUCCCAGACUUUCCAAAUAGACUUGAACACACAAGUGCCCUGGAUAGAAACAGGAAAACCACCACCCACAAGGUUCGUGAGAGGUAAGCCCUUCCAAGACUUAGCAUUCUUAGGGACAACCCUCUCAAUAUUGUGUCUGAUUAAUACCUUCCAAGGUUCCUGACCUUCUAGAGAAUGGAUGAUCCAUUUAGCCGCAAGGGCAAUACCUUGUAUCCUAAGAUCCUUUAAUCCAAGGCCACCAAGAGAUUUCUCAGUAUGUCACCACUUCCAGUUAACUGCGUGUAAUUUGUUACUACCUUUGCCAUCAGACCAAAUGAAGCGUCUAACAGCGUUUUGAAUUUCUAAUAUCUGAUAGUUGCUAAACAUCCAAGUAGAGGAGUAGUAGAUAUUAUAGGAAGAGAGGAUUUUUUGGCACACUUGAACCUUGCCAGAUAGGGAGAGGAAUCUAUUGUUCCAUUUACUAAGUUUCUUAUCAAUUUUCUCCUUAACCCAAAGCCACAUAUCUUUGAGGGAAGGGGACACCGAGAAAGGAACUCCAAGGUAUCUAACGAUUUUGUUAGGACCGCCCCAUUGGUAGCCAAGUUGUCCAAACCAGUCAGGGGGGUGAUCCAUCCAGCUAAGGAAGGUAGACUUGGUCUGGGAGAUCCGAGCUCCUGAAAUUGCCUCAAAGCAUUGGAUUUUAAGGUUAAGGUUAUCCAUGUUUUGCUUGGUGAGCUCAAGAAAAAGAGUUGUGUCAUUGGCAAACUGAAUAUUCAUCAAUUCAUUAUCAUCAGGGAGCCUAACCCCAUUAACCUUUGGGGAGAGGGAGUUAUCCCUAAGGAGGUAGAAUAAAGCAUCAGAAGCAAUAACAAAGAGAGCAGGGGCCAAGGUGCAUCCCUGUCUAAUGGACCGAGAGAGCAUAAUGGAAGAGGAGAGGGAGCCAUUAACAUCAAUCUGAGCAGAGACAUCUUGAAGGAGGACCUUGACAUAAGUACAAAAUUCACUAGGAAAUCCAAAGGCUUCAAGCAUCGUAAUAAUAGAGUCCCAUUCCACCCUAUCAUAGGUUUUCUUAAAGUCAAGGAGGAACAUAGCAGUGUCUUGACCAAAAACUUUAGACCAUUCCAUGGCUUCCCAACUUGUGAUGAGAUUUUCCAGAACAUAGCUACCUUUAAUGAAGCUGGUUUGGGUGGGGUAGAUAAACUUGGGCAGGAUCUUUUCCAGUCGGACGGCCAACAUUUUAGCCAGGAUCUUAUAGGACACAUUGAGAAGGGUAAUGGGUCUCCAGUUCUUAACGAGGGCCUUGUCACCAUCCUUGGGUAUGAGUUUAAUAAUGCCCUUAUUGAUAACAUUCCCAGGGGAACCCUUACCCAAUGCCUCAUUAUAUAUGUCAAGAAGAUCAAAGCAAAUCUAGUUAAUGUUGGCUUUGUAAACUUAUUUGGGAGCCCAUUAGGCUCGAAAGCUUUGUCAUUGUGGGGGGAGUUGAUGGCUUUAUGAGUUUCAUCAAUUGUGAAAUUUUGUUUAAGGAGGCAAGAUUCUCCCUCGGAGAUCCUACAGGGAAUGAUGGAUUUGCAUUUAAGUUUGAGGGCCUUGGCAGCCUCAGAGUCUUCAGAGGUAAAAAGUUUUUGGUAGAAGAGGGUAAAGGCUUCUUUAAUGUUGUCCAAAUCAACAAUCUCUUGAUUAUCAACAAUAAGUCUAUCAAUCUUUUCUCGGUUUUGCUUAUGUUUAAGCCGAUUAUCGCCAAAUUGGAGCCAAUGGCUAUGGGCUCUAAUCAUGGCCCCCUUGAUCUUAACUUGCUGAUGUAAUCUAAGGGCAUCCCUAGUUUUCGCCACUUGGUUGGCAAGGUCAGGGCAGGAAGGAGUCAAUUGAAUUUCAUUUUCAAGGUGAAGCAGAUUAAGAUUAAGAGUCUUUUCCACAAAUCUGGAGUCUUUGGUCCUUUUUUGACCAAUAGUUUGCAGGAGUUUUUGCCAGGAAACAACAUUAUAAUUCCACCUAUCAAUAUGCGAAGCUAAGUUCUUAUUAUCCUUAUUUAGGAGUCUGAUGAGGUUAAUGGCAGCAAGAACAUCAAGAUCUUUCAGUAAAUUAGUGUUAAGAAUGAACUUCUUAGGCCCCACCACAUUAGCAGGUAAGGAGUUAGCAAGUUUGAUGUGAGCAGUAAUAGGGUGGUGAUCCGAGAGUAAAAGGCCAGACAACAACAGAAUUGCCAUGGUUACUAGGGAUAAAUGAAAAAACAUCUUUAUUGGCAUAAAAAGGGUCAAGUCUACAAUAAAUUUUAUUACAACCUUUUUGGAAAUUGCACCAAGUGUUCUAGAGACCCCUUGUAUCAGCAUUAUUACCAAAAAGAGGAUCAAACAAGGUUUUCUUAAAUUUCAUUCUAUCCCAAUUGGAUUUUUCAGAGCCUUUCCAUUCAUUAAAAAAUCAUAAAAAUUUUAGUGUAAAUAUAUGACACUUAGAAAAGUCUGUGCCACAUAAUGCAAGGCUAAUAAACAAAUGAAUAAAUUGUUAUGCAAUUAUAGCAAUUCCAAAUUAAGGGUGGAUCAUCCCUACUAAUUGGGAGGUCUUCACCAUCACAAUGCACUCACAUCUAGAAUGAAACUUUUUCUUUUGAUUUUUUCAUCUUCAGCAAUUGUAGUAACAAGAGAAAUAAUAAGAAGAUCGAAUUAAGAUAACUCCUCAUUUUUAGGUUUGUCAAAUUAUUUGAAUUGAAGGUGGAAAGUAGAAAAAAGUGUAAUCAUAUAACUAAAAAUUUGAACAUUCAAAUAAAUAAAUAAAAGAUUAUUUUAAAAUUGAUCUAUUAUUGUAAUCUCAAACAAUAAAUUCUAAUGAUAGACAUAUUAGCCUUCAAAAAUAUAAUAAAUUUAAAAUACAUAAUUAUUUAAAAUCUUUAAAUUGACAUAUUAAAGAUAAAAUUAUUAAUCAAAACCCUAAAUUUUGUUUUGUUAAAACUGUAAGUAAUUAACCUUACCCAUAAACAGACAAGUCUACAUUCUAAACUUCAAUAAUGAAAUCUUUAUCAUACCAACUAUGAUUAAGUGAUUACAUCAUCUAAUAUUCUAGCCUUUAUUACAAUAAACAUAAAAAAAUCACAGUAGAUUUAAAUAUAAAUUAAAAAAAUGCUCUGUCUUGCCAUGGAAAAGAUGAAGGUUUUUGGAUUUGACGUUAAUUGCUAUUUAAUCUGCACUUCCUAUCAUAAUCUACUACGACAAAUUCCACAUCUAUUCAAUGAAGAUAAUUUAAACAGUAAUCAAACUGUACCAUCAAAAUAUAAAAAAUAUUAAAUAACAAUACAUAAAUUAAUCAACAAUGAAGUUUGGUAAAUGUCAUAAAAAAAACCAUGUACUCGAGGACAAAUACUGUAAUGCAUAAUGGGAAGAUUUCGGAUCUGAUUCGAUCCAAGUAAAAAUUUCCCCUUGCUAUCAUGGCUGCCUCUGUCUAUUCCAAUCUUAAUUGCACAAAACCCAAAAUAUUCGAAAGUGAAUUGACAAGACCCACCAGACUGAUUUGAUUAAAUGGAAUGAGGUUUUUCCACUUGGUCUGCAGAAUCAGAGAUGUAAUAACUCAUUAGGUUGGGGAAAAUGAAGAGAGAACAUCUCGAAGUCUAUCAAGUUUCAGUUGUUACUGGUGGGGAAUUCAACCAUUAAGAUCAAACAAUGUAGUGAAAGUAAUGAUUGUUGUUAGUCUUUUAUUUGUUGUUGGAAUGUUCAUUCAGUUAUUGAUUAUUUCAAGAUUAAUCCAUCUUUGAUUCAAGUAUGAUUUAUUUUUUAAUAUAUUUUAAAAUUAACUUUAUAAGGUCCAAAAGGAGACUCUUCACUCAUUUUCGAAUCAGGAAUGUAAUAAUUCACUGUGAUGGGAAAAUGGAAGAGAAAACAUCCAGAAGAUUAUUAUUUGUUGUUCGGGAUGUUCUAUCACUGACCUAUUGAAUACUAAAGAUCGAUUUAUCUUUGAUUCAAGUGUGACUUUUUUCUCAAUAUAUUCUAAAUUAAACUUACAAGAUCUAAAUGAGGCUCUUCAACUUGUUUUGCAAAUUAGAGAUGUAAUAACUCACCAAGUUAGGGAAAAUGGAAGAGAAAACAUCCAGAAGGUUAUCUUUCUAUCUAGAAAGAUACAGUUGUUAUUGGUGGAGAAUUCAAUUAUUAAGAUUUAAAAAAUGUAUUGAAAGUAGCCAUUGUUGUUAGUCUUUUAUUUGUCGUUGGGAUGUUCUAUCACUAAAAUAUUUGAUUACUUCAAGAUCAAUCUAUCUUUGAUUCAAGUAUGACUUAUUUCUCAAUAUAUUCUAAAAUGUACUUACAAGAUCCGAAAGGAGCCUCUUCAACUUGUUUUGCAAAUCAGAGAUGUAAUAACUCAUUGAUUUGGAGGAAAUGGAAGAGAGAAGGCCUGGAAGAUUAUCUCUCUAUCUAGAAAGAUCCAAUCGCCUUUGCACGGAAGGGGGGAAGGGCCUGAGAUUAGGUUUUCGAGAUCUGAAGAUGCAAGUGAAAUGAUUGAAUGGUUGUCGGUGUGGGAUUAAUGAACAUGGUCUUGCAGUUUUUGUUUGUCGGAGUCUGACCUACCUACCCUUGGAUAAGAUGUCUGACCCAGUCAUCCCGCAAAAUGCGGGUAACCAUGAUUUAGCAUCAUUGUAUUGAGGUAGAGUUGAAUUUAAUGAAAAAAUUGUUAAAUAACCUUUACGUACGUCUACUAGAGAAGGCUUACCUGUAAGAAGAUCUUGAAUUCGGGCUUGAUGGAGCCCAGUUAUGCCUGGGACAGGCGCUGUGCUUAAGCCCAGAAUUACCUAGAUCUUAUGCAAAACCUAGAAAUGCAAGUGCAUUCUUCAAUUUAAUCAAUUUAAUCAAAUCAGUGAAUAGCAAAAUUUUAUCUAUAAAAUAGAUUAUUUCAAAUUUCGAUAUUUUUGAGUUGGUGUAAUGGUGAAGAAUUUGUAUUCUUGAAAGACGGUCACAAAUUCAAAUCUUGUAAAGUAGGGUAUUCCAUGUCUCGUUUGUACCAUAGUUAGGUGCUUCUUGCAUGGAGUAUGCAGCAGUCUUAGACAUUAUGAGUCACAUGUAGACCCAAAAAUAGAUUGCUCAGUAUCA